UGAAACGGUGUCUGGUCCACACACGAUUUUGGAAAGAGCAGCCAGGGUCAGGGGAGAAGGUUUCCAGGUAACCAGGCAUAUAGCAAAACAUGAACAGAGGGCCCUAUGCUCUCACCCGCCAUGAAGUGCACAGUGGAGCAGAGAUGAACAGAUGAGCAACGAAGCUGCCAGGAGUGGGAAGAGUGGUGGUGGCUCUGCCUUCCUAGAAGCCUGCAGUGGUCCCUUCCAGGGUACUGUGUGUGUUCAGUACUGAUGGGGUAUGUCUACACUGCAGUGUAUAUCUUUAACCGAAGAAUCUACUGACCCCAGAGGGAAAGACCAUACAUGGUGAUGGUGAAGGACAGUUUGAGCUUAUACUUAGAGCUUCACUCACUGUGACUCUUGCAGUUAAGGCUAACAGCAAUAUGAUAAGUAUCUACAACCCUUUCAUUACAAGGAUAUAAUUCUGAAGCAUCUUUUAACUGGAAUUGCAGUAUCACAUCUGACUUGCUAUCUAAAAUCCAUCAAAGUCCUGUUUUGAAACCUGGACCUUCAGCAUUGAUCACUACUACUAAAGCUAAGAGACUAACAACAAUGGAGGGCAACAUGAGGAACCUGCCUUUAGAGAAGGAUGGGGGGGACAAUGAAACAGUGGUACAAUAUGGAGGAGUGUACUACUUCUUUAAGCAACCAGAACAGCUUGGCUGUGAUCAAAGAGGCCUCCUGGGCUAUUUAAGCAGGAAGAGGAAGCUAAGCAGUAGAGAGAGAGGGUUAACAGCUAUAUUGGUUGCUGUGGUCUCUUC